CACGAACAACAGCGAUGUUGUUUUCACCUUUCAAGAAGUCAGCAGAAGACAUAGUAUUCGGUGUGUGUACACCAUCGAAGAAGGUC
rfam:Petrimonas mucosa isolate ING2-E5A genome assembly, chromosome: I